AUGUCAGUGGAGCAUCUGCUACAUGCAAUGGUGGAAAAGCUGAAAUCGGAACCUGUCCUGGAGGUGGGCCGGUUGCUUGGCAUUGGAAGCCUACUUCAGGACCUGCAGACACAUUUCAGGAUGAUCCAUUGGAGGAUCAGUCGCAUCGAUGAGAGUGCAGUUCUUAUGAUCAACGUCAACAACGAGCAGUACCUCCAGCUUCUGCAGAGGCUCUGGUCUCUCACACUUGAUACUGAUGACGCGCUGAAUAGGAUCUCUCGCCAUCUGAGAAAAAAGGGGGGCAUUUUCUCAUUUCAUCAGGUAUGCAGCUCGCCCAUCUUUCGGAGGUUCCAUUUUCGCCGUGUCAAUAAGAUAAGAGAGGCAGUAGCUAGCUUGAAAAACUGCUAUGCACAAACAUAUAGAAUCAGACUUCCAGCCAAACAUACAGAUAUCCAGGAAGCUAUGAGUUGCCAGAGAACAUGUGGCAAACCUGAAGGUGUACUUGGUAGAGAGAGAGAAUUGGACGAUGUCCUAAGAAUGAUGCAAACUGAUGACAGCACACCCGGCUUGUCAAUUCUCCCCAUAACGGGAAUGGCUGGAAUCGGGAAGACUACCCUCGCUCAGCUAGUAUUCUGGCAUCCAUGGGUUGUUGAUACCUUUGGUGAUGAUCGGAUUUGGGUUUCGGUACCUCGUGAGUUUAACACCAUGGUGAUAUUGAGUAGAAUAGCACAAGUUCUAACCACCCAGCAGUGUAGCACAAGUGAUUCGCCAGAAGAAGAAAUGAUAGAGCAGGAGGACUCCGUGAAACUGAAGUACCUUGUCAAAGAGAAACUCAGUGGGCAGAGAUUUUUCAUUGUACUGGAUGAUGCGUGGGAUCAGGAUCGGAAGAAAUGGCAGGAGCUGAUGGAAGUCCUUGAUAGUGCUGGAAAGCCCGGAAGCAAGAUGAUUGUCACUAGUCGCAUCCCUGAUGUUGUAACAUUGACCAAGUCCCUCAAACCAUACACCUUACAGUGUCUCUUGCCAGCUCAUUCUUCAAGUCUGCUCACACAAUGGAUGCAAAAUCCUGCAGAGUUGCCACCACGGCUCAUUCCAAUCAGAAAAAUGAUUGCUGAAACAUGUGCUGGCGUGCCCUCGUUACUACUCAGCGCAUCAAACAAGCUGAAGAGCAUACGGAAAACUCAGGUCGCUUGGCAGCAUGUCCUGAGCAGAUUUGAUCUCGUCUUCUAUGCAGACCGUCUUUUGUUGGAUGCGGCUUAUGUCAGCUACCAACAUCUCCCUCCAAGCAUCCAGCAAUGCUUUCUUUACUGCUCACUGCUCCUAGUUCAUAGCUUUACACCUGAACAACUGACUGACAUGUUUGUUGCUGAUGAGCUCAUAAAACUGAUAAGCAGCAAAUCUGACAUGCAUCUCUACUUCUCCAAGAUAAUGACAGAACACUUCUAUGGUGUAGUCCAGAAAUCUCGACACAGAGGAAACACUGUUUACAAGAUGCAUCCUGGGAUGCAACUUCUUGCACAAAGGAUUAGUCGGGGAUUCCACUUAGCAAUAGAUGCUAGAAAGGAAAUAAUUUGGCCUUCAUGUGAUGCCAGGUGCCUCUCCUUACUUGUUGAUUGUGAAACAAGUAAGCUUCCACCAGAAUUGUUUGAAUUGGAAAGUUUGAGGACCCUAAUAUUGCUCAGAGAUGAAAAUAUGCUUUUGUCUGAGAACAAGUGCGCAAUCACCGAUAUCCCAGCAGAGUUUUGCCAACGUCUGAUAGCUCUGCGUGUACUGCAUAUGCAAUCUUGCAGGAUCAAAAGGAUUCCUAGGUUAAUUGAUAUGUUACAGAAUCUAACCUAUAUCAAUCUUUCUCACAAUGAUAUUGAGAUUGUACCAGAUUCAGUUAGCAACCUUCGAUUCUUGACCCACUUGAAUCUUUCACAAAAUGAGAUCAUUGAACUGCCAGAAUCAGUUGGAAAGAUGCAAUCCUUGCAGAUGCUGGACCUGUCUCACUGUGAAAAACUUCUUGGCUUGCAUGAAGCAAUAAGCAACCUUGUGAAUCUACAUACUCUAAACCUUGAAGGCUGUCACUACCUUGCUGUAUUACCCAAAGGCAUGAAAAACUUGAGAAGUCUUACGUGCCUGAACAUUCUUGAAUGUCCUUUACUAACUCAAAUGCCUCGUCAGAUGAACCAACUCACAAGCAUCAAGAUAUUGCCAAGGUACAUUGCAGCAGAAACUCCCAAACAUACCAUCUCAGAGUUACGUCCUUUAGUUUAUUUGAAGGAACUCGGUGUCCAGAACAUGGAAAAUUCUUCUUCUGCUGAUGCCAGAAAUGUAAUCCUGCAAGACAAACACAAGCUUGAGUCACUGGCAUUGAGUUGGACUGGAGAUUGCACAGAUCCUGAAACUAGCUCGAGAGCACAAGAAAUACUUGAACAUCUGAAACCACGCCGUGGUUUGAAAGUGUUACAGUUAUUUUCCUAUCCAGGAAGGAAACUUCCAUCAUGGAUAAACAGUGGCGUACCUUACCUAAACUCACUUACUGAUAUCAAGUUGGUUAAUCUGGCAUGUGAAAGCCUGCCACCGCUGGGACAACUGCCUAACCUCAAGAUUGCUGAAGUAAGCGGAAUAGAUGCUGUCACAUGUGUAGAUGACACAUUCUAUGGGGCCGAUGGCACAUUCUUCUCAUUGGAGAAACUAUCGUUCUUUCACAUGCCCAACCUAAAAACCUGGGUACCAUCACACAGAGAAGGACUUUUUCCCUGCCUUCAAGAAUUGACAAUCGCCCAAUGCCCAAAAUUGACAGCAGUACAUGUAAAACUCAGAGCUGUUACAAGCUUGAUCAUGCUGAUGAACAAUGAAAAUUUGAUUGCAUGUAGAGGAUCACUCCAAGGUUUGUCUCGGAAUUUAAGGUCUCUGUCAAUUUCCCUGUGUGAAGAGCUAUUAGAACAUUCUCAAUGUGAGGGGUUGCAUGAACUUCAUGGGCUUGAGGAGCUCCAAAUUUCAAGGUGCACAGAAUUAAUUUCGUUACCUGGUGGUAUGAGGCAUUUGUCAGUCCUUCGGAGUUUGACUAUAACAAAAUGCACAAAAUUAGAGACCUUGCCAGAGUGGUUGAAGAAUAUAACCUCUCUGAGAUCAUUGUGCAUAUCUGACUGUCCAAAGCUGCACAUUCCCAAGAGUUUGAAUAAUUUGUCACAUCUCCAAAUUAUUUUGGAGUGA
rnacentral:rRNA from 1 species